rnacentral:rRNA from 1 species
GUGAGGAAUAUUGGUCAAUGGGCGCAAGCCUGAACCAGCCAUGCCGCGUGCAGGAUUGAAGGCCCUAUGGGUUGUAAACUGCUUUUGUAUGGGAAGAAACCCCCGGACGUGUCCGGGGUUGACGGUACUGUAUGAAUAAGCAUCGGCUAACUCCGUGCCAGCAGCCGCGGUAAUACGGAGGAUGCAAGCGUUAUCCGGAUUCAUUAGGUUUAAAGGGUGUGUAGGCGGGGUAAUAAGUCAGUGGUGAAAUCCUGCGGCUCAACCGUAGAACUGCCAUUGAAACUGUUAUUCUUGAGUACAAUUGAGGUGGGCGGAAUGUGUGGUGUAGCGGUGAAAUGCUUAGAUAUCACACAGAACACCGAUUGCGAAGGCAGCUCACUAAACUGUUACUGACGCUGAGGCACGAAAGCGUGGGGAUCAAACAGGAUUAGAUACCCCGGUAGUCC